UACGUAGGGUGCGAGCGUUGUCCGGAAUUACUGGGCGUAAAGAGCUCGUAGGUGGUUUGUCGCGUGGUUCGUGAAAACUCACAGCUCAACUGUGGGCGUGCGGGCGAUACGGGCAGACUGGAGUACUGCAGGGGAGACUGGAAUUCCUGGUGUAGCGGUGGAAUGCGCAGAUAUCAGGAGGAACACCGGUGGCGAAGGCGGGUCUCUGGGCCGAUACUGACGCUGAGGAGCGAAAGCGUGGGGAGCGAACAGG
rnacentral:rRNA from 1 species